UACGUAGGGGCCGAGCGUUGUCCGGAGUUAUUGGGCGUAAAGCGCGCGCAGGCGGCUUCGCGCGCCCGACGUGAAAGCCCCCGGCUUAACCGGGGAGAGUCGUUGGGGACGGCGGAGCUUGAGGGCGGGAGAGGUCGGUGGAAUUCCCGGUGUAGCGGUGAAAUGCGUAGAGAUCGGGAGGAACAUCAGUGGCGAAGGCGGCCAUCUGGGACAACACUGACGCUGAAGCACGAAAGCGUGGGGAGCAAACAGG
rnacentral:rRNA from 1 species